ACGAGAAUGGCUUGGCCCGUUGCUCACUCUCCUGAGAUAUGAUAAUUAUUAUUGUUUCAUCGGCAUUGUUGUGGUGGGACGAUUGUGGUGACUGGCGCGGUUCGUAGCAUGGUAUAGUAUUACUCUACCAUCUUGUCUGAGUAACUUUAGAUAUUAUUUUGGUAAUGAUGGAGAUUCUGAUGAAGGCCUGAUUUAUUGAGGCUUUUCUUUGAUUUAUUGUCAUUACUUUGUUUUCAGUUGGUAGAACUAUGUUAGUAACGAUUCGUGGUUAUUAAAUUUUUCACAGAUUGUUGUCUCGAUUUGGUUAAGCAGAAAAUAUUGAUUAAAAGGGGUUACUUGAUCAAUAUGUUGUUUUUCUUGACCAUGGGAUGUUGACAAGGCAACCAUACUUCAGCUACAACGUCGUUUCCGCCAGAACUACAGUGUAUUUCAUUGACAAUUAUUUGUUUGUGAUUUUAUUGCCAUAUUUUAUAUUGUGGACUCUGGAUACUUUUUGUAUUUGGUGCUUUUGUUAUUGAAUUUCCUGUCAAUUUCCAAUUUUCAUUUCUGCAGGACUAAUCUGUUGGCUCCAAAUUCGUCGAAAUGAUGACUCAGAAGCCAAAGCAUGCAUCACCACUCAGCUUGUUGUUGCCCCCUCUAUUCCAGCCCCUGCAAUCAUGACCUUUAAGUUCUUACAUGAAAGCUCAAUGGCCAAUGUUUGUAUUUUCAUGCAGUUUUUCUUUCUCCGUCAAAGCACUCGGCUCAUCAAUUGAAGUGAUAUCUCAUAUCUAGAUUUUUUGUCCAAUAUGUGGAACUUGUAUGAUUUUAAGGAAUGUAUUUUCAUGCAGUGGAACUGAAUGUUUUUGUUUUGAUUCGGGAUCUCUGAAAAUGGUCAAAUACU
rnacentral:lncRNA from 1 species